CAUAAACUAUCUCAUGAUAAAUACAAACUCCAAAUAAUAAACAUAAACAAAAAUAGGAUAAAUAUUUGUUGCCCAGAGGUAGCAACGCACGAGGUGGGGGGGAUGGAUUAGGUUCUUUUAAAAUUUAAUCAAAUUAAGCUCUAAAACAAAUAUGUGCUUCUAGUUAAAUCAAUUCAAAUGGUUGUGAUGAACAUAAAUCAAGUAGCAGC
rnacentral:lncRNA from 1 species